GGGCCCGCACAAGCGGUGGAGCAUGUGGUUUAAUUCGAUGAUACGCGAGGAACCUUACCAGGGCUUAAAUGUUAGGUGACAGAUCUAGAAAUAGAUUUUUCUUCGGACACUUAACAAGGUGCUGCAUGGUUGUCGUCAGCUCGUGCCGUGAGGUGUCAGGUUAAGUCCUAUAACGAGCGCAACCCCUGUUGUUAGUUGCCAGCGAGUAAUGUCGGGAACUCUAACAAGACUGCCGGUGCAAACCGUGAGGAAGGUGGGGAUGACGUCAAAUCAUCACGGCCCUUACGUCCUGGCUACACACGUGCUACAAUGGUAGGUACAGAGGGAAGCCACCCCGCGAGGGGGAGCGGA
rnacentral:rRNA from 1 species